GUGAGGAAUAUUGGUCAAUGGGCGCAAGCCUGAACCAGCCAUCCCGCGUGCAGGAAGACGGCGCUAUUCGUUGUAAACUGCUUUUCCAGGGAGAGAAACUUGCGCACGUGUUGCGCAAUUGACGGUACCCUGGGAAUAAGCAUCGGCUAACUCCGUGCCAGCAGCCGCGGUAAUACGGAGGAUGCGAGCGUUAUCCGGAUUCAUUGGGUUUAAAGGGUGCGUAGGCGGCCUAUUAAGUCAGUGGUGAAAUCCUGCAGAUUAACUGCAGAACUGCCAUUGAUACUGAUAGCCUUGAGUUUGGUUAAGGUAGGCGGAAUGUGUAAUGUAGCGGUGAAAUGCUUAGAUAUUACACAGAACACCAAUUGCGUAGGCAGCUUACUGAGCCGACACUGACGCUGAGGCACGAAAGCGUGGGGAUCGAACAGGAUUAGAAACCCUUGUAGUCC
rnacentral:rRNA from 1 species